GGAGGGGUGGCAGAGUGGUCGAUCGCGCCGGUCUUGAAAACCGGAGGGCCGCAAGGUCCCGUGGGUUCGAAUCCCACCCCCUCCGCCA
rnacentral:tRNA from 1 species